rnacentral:rRNA from 1 species
CCUACGGGCGGCAGCAGUGGGGAAUAUUGGGCAAUGGAGGAAACUCUGAACCAGCAACGCCGCGUGAAUGAUGAAGGUCUUCGGAUUGUAAAGUUCUUUUCUAAGGGAAGAAGAAAGUGACGGUACCUUAGGAAUAAGCCUCGGCUAACUACGUGCCAGCAGCCGCGGUAAUACGUAGGAGGCAAGCGUUAUCCGGAAUGACUGGGCGUAAAGGGUGCGUAGGUGGUGUGGAAAGUUGGUAGCGUAACUCCGGGGCUCAACCUCGGCACUACUGCCGAAACGGUCGGACUUGAGUGCAGGAGGGGCAAGUGGAAUGCCUAGUGUAGCGGUGAAAUGCGUAGAUAUUAGGCGGAACACCAGUGGCGAAGGCGAUUUACUGGACUGUAACUGACGCUGAGGCACGAAAGCGUGGGGAGCAAACAGGAUUAGAUACCCUUGUAGUC